rnacentral:rRNA from 1 species
GUGCCAGCCGCCGCGGUAAUACGGAGGGUGCGAGCGUUAAUCGGAAUUACUGGGCGUAAAGCGCAUGCAGGUGGUUUGUUAAGUCAGAUGUGAAAGCCCGGGGCUCAACCUCGGAAUUGCAUUUGAAACUGGUGAACUAGAGUACUGUAGAGGGGGGUAGAAUUUCAGGUGUAGCGGUGAAAUGCGUAGAGAUCUGAAGGAAUACCGGUGGCGAAGGCGGCCCCCUGGACAGAUACUGACACUCAGAUGCGAAAGCGUGGGGAGCAAACAGGAUUAGAAACCCGAGUAGUCC